AAGAAGCUUCAAGUCCCAUACGACAGCUGUGGCGUGUCUCAACUGGGAGGAAGAUGCCCAAGUGAACAGAGAACCACUUGUGCAAAUAACUGGGAGUUGUACCAAUUGAAGGUAUUCUAUCAGAUGACAUCACAUGCAAUCGGUUCAAUCGGUCGAACUGGUACAGCAAUGUUCC